UGAAAAACUGUGAAGGGAAUAAGAUAAACCCCAACGCCUUCAGAGAGCUGCCGGAAGGUGCAAGACAGCGGCAAAGGUUUAUGUAUAGCUCAUCCCGGAGUUGCCCGCCCGAUAUGUAGGGCCGGACGUUUGGCCGCGUUAUAAAGCCGGGCCUUGUUGGAGGCUGCUGAGGGCCGCGUCUGCGGCUGAAAUUAGGGUGGUACCGCGUGGAAUUAUUCCCCGCCCCUAUG
rnacentral:ncRNA from 1 species